AGUGCAAUUGCUGGGUUGUAUAGUAAGUAUAUGUCUAGUUUUCAAAAAGGUUGACGAACUAUUUUCUAGAGUGGCUGUUCUGUUUUACAUCUCCACCAGCAAC
rnacentral:pre_miRNA from 1 species